CCUGGCCAUCGCAGGGCCGCCCCGGGCCGUGACGUCAUGGACCCCAGCCAAUCACCGGAGCCUGAGACCGCGCCGCGGCCUGCGAGCCCGGUGACGUCACAGCGCGAGCCUGGAAUCCGCAGCUUCGCUGGUUACCUGGAAGCGGUGCGAGCGCCCAAUACCUGAAAUCUGGACUUUGCUGUCUCUGAAAAUCACCAUUUGCCUUUGGGAGAUGUGUGUUGGCAAGAAGAGGAGACAUAUUCAAACCCCACUGGCUAGGACAUCAGGAGCUCAGUAUGUAAUCUACAGGCCACCCUAGACUGUCCUGCUAAUGCUGACUCUUCUGCCCAUCUCUGUUCUCAAGUUCUCCAUGGCUUUUAUUCUAGUGUAAGUUUGAUGUUAACAUAAUUUGACCUUUGAUUCACUCACUCCUAUGUUGUAAGUCUGUUUAAUUAGCCCUACUUUUUUGAUAAAUCUGCUCUAUCCACAUAGGAGUUAUACAGUAGGAGGAGGUAGGUAGAGAGGGAAGCGUAGGUGGUUCCACAUUCACCCUUCACCUGAGCCCAAGGUUGUCUCAUUGUAUCAAGAGGGACUGUAGACCCCAGGUUCCCUGAGACGGUGGUCAGGAGAGAGGUGUUUGAUGGGAGAGGUGAAAAGACCAUAGGAUCUGGAGAAGUAACUCCCAGGAGAGCAACACAGGAAGGAUGAGAACUGUCUUCUCCCUGCACUGUGCUCCAAAACAAUGAGCCCGGCAGUGGGGCGGGGAGGAUAAGUAGAGGACAGAUAUGAGUUAAGCCUGUGCCAAAGGUUAUGUGUCACUGCAACUAGAGUCUGAAAGAAAAUCAAGUUGGAAGAUCAGCAAAAGUUGAAGAUCUAUAUAAAUGAGUCAUUGUGAUUUAUCCCAAAUGCCCAGUAAAGCUCUGGAAAAGGAUUUCCUUCAGCCUGCUACUCUGAGGCUAGGAAAAUUCAUUCUGAAUUUUCUUUCUGAAUCUUCCAACCUUAGUUUUUACAAAAUUAUUUCCUUUUUGGACAUUCCUCUGAAAGGUUGGGAUGUAGAAUUUGAGCAAGUUAGGGGUUACAUGAUUUGGUUACAUUUGCCUUCAAAACAUGCCUAGCUGAUCACAUUCACCUGGUAAACAUUUUCCUUUUAUAUAUGUCAAAGAAACAGAAAUACUUACGAUUUGGUUUUUAGCUUCUUUAUUCAUUUGAACACUUCAAUAUUCUGUCUUCUUCAAUGAUUCCCCCUUGCCCGUAUUUUCAGCUGGAACAGUUUCUCAUUUUCCCUAUUUCUGAACACUUUCAAGGGCUUGCUUCAGUAAGCCCAACACACAAAAUGUCCCUUUCGGCAAAAUCUCAGCGGUGGUGCUAAGGGACUAACACAGACUUUAAGGUCACAAAACCAUUGUUUUAACAUUUUUCUCUGUUACUUUUCUGAUAAUGAUGACAGUUCUGUCUCUAUUAUGUUUGUUGAGGCUUACCUAGUACCCAGUGAUAUUAGCUUCUCCUCUAGAGAGAGGUCCCAAGAGCAUUACACCAGAUCUCCUAUGAAGAUGUGGGAUUUCCUCUAGGAAAAGGUGUGUAUCCAGGUAAUUUACUAAGCCGGAAGCUGCUGUGAUUCUAUGGCAGCCUUAUCUCUUAUGACACACCCAUUUACUAUGAUUCGGUGAUCUGGAUGACGGCACAGAGUGCUGUACUAAAGCCUGCCCCAGAUGGUGGCUGUGCAUGUCAUCAGUUAUGAUAAUGGGAAAGUGGCUAAUGGAAAGAGCACAGCUCAGAUAUGUGACACAAUGGAAACAUUUGGGCAUUAGAAAGACUUCAAAUUAUAACUUUGCCACUAAUUAAUUGUGUGAUCUUGGAUAAGUUACUUAAUCCCUGCAAACCCCAGUUUUCUCAUCUGUAAAAAUGGAAUAAGGACAUAUGCCUCAUGAACUUGUAAGGAUCUGAGAAAAUAAAUAUGUGAGUGUGUGACAGAGUGAGAUGGGGAAGGAAUGCAGUGAUUAAACAAGAUUUUUAAAAUGUGAGGAAUUUGACUAUAUACCCAAAGUUCUUAUGGCAUGACCUUUGGUCUAUAAUGCAUGUAGAGGUAUUGACUUAAUUCUAGAUUUUGUUAAAUCAGGUGUACAUGUUGAAAAUUUUAAGGUGUAUCAAUUAGAAAUUGCAUUCAUCUGAUAAUAAAAAUCUUGACUAAAGUGACUUGAACAAGAUAGAAGUUUCUGUUUGUUUCUCACAUGAAUGAGAUCUGGAGGUGGGCAGUGCAGGAUGGAAUUGGCCGCUUCUUAAUAAUCAGGGUUUUAGCUCUUCUUUCUGCUUUACCGUCCUUAGUGUGUGGCUUCCAUCCUCAGAGUUGCUUCAUGGUCCAUGAUGGUUUCCGGAGUUCCAUCUACACCCACGUUGCAAGCAGGAUAAAAGGGGGAAGGACAGAGGAACACAGGCCAACUUGGCCCAAAUCCCUCUCUGGGUCUGUUUCUGACUACUGUCUUCCUGACAUCUACCCUGAGCUGCCACUUUCUGACCAACCUCCCAUGGAAGAAAACGGUAGCAUGCAUGGGUCAAAGAAGAGGCAGACCUGAAAAAGAGAAAAAGAUACCUAUUUUUUCAUGUGGAACCCUGCCACUGCUGCUUCCUAGUAAAUCACAGUAUGUAUCCUUUGGUUCAGUCAUUGGGCCAUUGUUACAUUUUUCCCACAGGUUAAACAGAUUAAUGGUAAAAUCUACCAUGAUUGAUUUGGUAAAGAAAAAGUCAGUUCUCUGGUUGUCAAUAUGUUACUGGUGUUUCUCCAGCAAAGGCAGCCAUGGGUUGGCCUAUUGUCCCAGUGUCCUUUUUGUUUUAGCAUUUGUCUUGGAAAUAAUUGUCACAGUUUGGAUGAUCAAUUACAUGAUCAUUCUACCUGUGGUACUAAUGCUCAGAGAAGCAGACCAGAAACCUACUUACGGUGUUUGAAGUCCCUUAUUUGUAUCUUUAACCAAAGCAAGUUGGCCACCAAUCAAGCCAAUUGAAUUACAGGAAGUUUCAACUAAUGCUCUCAAGUGAACAUGCAUUAAUUUCACCCAAACUAGACCUGACUGGUGACUUUAAAAUUAGUUCUUAGUUGUGUUUUUUUCCAAUUUCUCCACAUCACUGUGUUAAAUUAAGUUUAGCAUGAAGCUACCUCCUUACAUGUUUCAGUUCAGCCUAAAGGUUUAACUGGAACCUAAUUGGAUAUGUAAACAGACUGUUGUAACCUACACUUGCACCAAUCGCAGAGUUCUGGCCAAUCACAGGCAUGUUGCUUUCCUUUACAGGUCUUAGUUUGACCAAUCACAGGCAGCCAACUAUUUAAACUGUAUUUAAAUACAGCAAACCCUGAGCUAACCAAUCCAGCUGUUUCUGUACCUCACUUCUGCCUUUUUGUACAUUACUUUCCCUUUUCUGUCCGUAAAUGUUAGCCAACCACGUAGCAGCCCUGAUUCUAGAGGCUGCCCCAUUCUCAAAUUGUUGUUUACUCAGUUAAACUCUGUUAAAUUUAAUUUGUCUAAAGAUUUUUCUUUUAACACCUGCCAACACAUUAUUUUCUGUUUUUUUGUUUGUUUUUUUAAUUAUUUGUAUUAUAGUCAUCCUACUGAGUAUGAAGAGGUAUCUCAUCGUGGCUUUGAUUUCCAAUUCCCUAAUGACCAAGUUCUUAGCUUUUUGAUAGCACAGAGAAGACUGUUUGCUCUCAGAGGCUUGCAUUGUAUCUUAGGGGUUUAAUAUUCUCAGAGCUGAGAAUACAGUAGGUGUUAACAAAUCUCUCAUUCAGCAAACAUUCACAAAAAGAGCCUGAGUUUUGUACAUCAGCUCGGUACCGAUAAAAAAGAGUUAUAUUUAGCAUCAGGAGGCCAGAAGAUCAGAGCACAUAAAUACAUCCUAAAGACUGUGACAACAGGUUCCUAAGGUGACAAAUUCACACCUCAACAUGAAGCAGGUGGAAGCUCUCAAAUCCAUUGCAGCAAAAUGGUGGCUGAAGGUCAGUUACAGUUAAAAGAGGUAUAAGCGGCUGUUUUCAUCUCCCUUUUCAUUGUAAUAAAAUGUGUCUUGGCAGAAACCUCUCCAAAGGAGAUGGGUGCCCACUUCCCAGAGGUGUUUGGUGGAUUAAUGUGAGCAAAACAUUCUGUGAUAAGACUUCCGCUGCAAUUGAAGGGAGAGUGCUCUUAUUAAGGAGACUUCCAAUUCUGAGCAUUUAUUACAUGUAAGAUACUGUCCUCGGCAGUUUCUUAAUAGCUGAGAAUGUAAUGCACGGCUUUGAGACAUUAUCUCAAUCUUAACAGCUGCUUCCAGGGCUGCAGCACAGGUUCUGUCUGGGUUUAGAUCUGAGCUUUCAUGUACUAGCUAUGGUAUUUAACCUCCACAUGCAUCAAUUUUCUUAUCUAUAAAGGAGGAAAUUAAAAUGCCCACCUCUUAGGGUUGUUUUCAGGAUGUGCUAAGCUGGUUGACUUCCUACAUGGAGAGAAGUCAAUACAUGUUAAUUCCCUUUGCCUUCACUUAAAAUUAAGAAUAUUAUAGAUAUUAUUCCUUCUAUUUUCUAGAUGAGAAAAGUGAGGGAUAGGUCCCGUAGUGACUGAGAAGUCAUCAUCUUUUGGGGUGUCCUCCCAGCUCACAGCCAUUUCCAAUUACCUGGGAACUAUCCCCUGACCCAAGGUGAUAAACCCACAGCAGUCAUAUCUGUACCAUGGGCUAAUGCCCCUCAGGCCACCAUUGAUUGAAUGGAGGAAGACAGACAUGGGACUUAAGUGGGCCAGUCAGAUUCUUGUCCAAGAAUUUGGGAAUGAGACCAAGAUACAGAAAGGUAGAAUCUGCAUGUGGCUAAAACUGUGUCACGUAACUUAGGCAUUGAUGCCACUAUAUUCUCUCAGAUGAAUGGGAGAUGAGGAGAAAGAUGGGCCUCAGAGAGGGAAGACAGAAACAGAUAUGCAGCCAUGGCAGCUGAGAAAAGAUCCCAAUGACUUUCAGCUCCUGGUUCUAGUCCUUUCUCAGCCUAGCCCAUGCCUUUCCCCUUGGAUUCCAUGAGAUGCCCACCUACCUGCAGAGUUAUCAUAAAGCCCCUCAUGUUGCUUCUCGUAGUUUGGUGGGCAAGAUUUUCACAGGCCACAAACUCAAAUAGGCAAGCGAUUGAGUUUUAUUUUCUUGUAAUAUAAUUUAAUUUGUCUUUUGAGAUGUCAUUCUAUCUGAUGGCAGAAAAACAAUCAAAUAAGCUCCAGAUAGACUCAGUCAUUUCAGGGUUUUCUCAGGCCUUUUAGGUCUCACUUAACUCAGAAUACUCUCACAUACUUCCUUCUCUCCAAAAGGCAUCUCGGGGCAUGCGGGGCAUCCUGACCCAGGAGAGGCAUUUAGUCCAGGCUGAUUCCCUGGAGAGAGGUGUCACCCAGAUGUGAUGCAUCCUGUCUCAUGCUAGGUCAUCAUCUCCUGCACGCCACUCUGCACCCACCUGACUCUGAGUGACAGCCCUUCUGGGCCACCAUCAGACAUUUGUGUGUCCCUGUUAGAAAUGAAUCAACAUCUCAGUUUUUAAAUUUUUAAAAAAUAAAAAUACAAAUAAAGUCUUGGCAAACUUUAAUCUGCAGGAACUAGAGUUGUGUAGUUAUACUUCUAAUCUGUUUCUAAUAUCUUAUUGGCAACGUAAGCUUUGUGCUUUCAUUUUUUAGUGUACACAUUAAACUUUUGAAACUUAAAAUUCUUUUUGUCAUAAAUUCUGG